UAGCGUUUGCUGCUUCAUUAGUUUAGAUAGUUUCAGAAACCCAGAUUGUUAGGUCCUGUCAAUCUAGCUUAAUGCUGAGUUUAGCAAGGUAGUGAGAUAUAUUUGUUUUGAUGAUCAGAUGAACACAUUUUCCUAUAGAUUUUAUGAUAUGCAGAUUCUCUCUUUUGAAGACCUGUUGGAUAGUGUCAAUUGUAUGAUCCGUGCCAUCCUUUCGGUUAGAUGUCAUCGGUCAUCAUAUAAGCUUGCUACCCAUGAUAUGCCCUAUCGGGCUAAUAUUGAUGUCAGUGAUGAGAUUUUUGAUUUUUUCUCACCAUAUUGAGUCUGUUCAUAUCAGCAACAGCCACAGUACUAGUUUAGCUAGUACCAGAAGCAGUUGUGAUGCUGAUGAUGUUGCUGAUUGCUAUAUAUGUUGUUUCAGUGCAGGAGACAGCUGAAGGAUCCAUUUUGUAUUUCAGUUCCUAGGAGUAUAGUGUUUGGAUACCUUGGGGCGAAGUAAAAGCUGCACUCUCUAUUUGUUUCUAGGCUCUCAUUCCAUUUUGUAUUUCAGUUCCUAGGAGUAUAGUGUUUGGAUACCUUGGGGCGAAGUAAAAGCUGCACUCUCUAUCUGUUUUGGAUUUGUUUCUAGGCUCUCAUUCUAUUUUGGUGAUGUUUCAUCACGUGGCACCUCUAUGAUAAACAUCAUGGUUGCACUGUGUUUCCAAACAUGUACUUUUGCUGCGGUUCCCAAUGGUUUUCUUGAUCCUCGUCAGAAGAAGUCGGAUGAACCACUUGUAUAUUUUGUAGGCGCUCAGUAGGAAGCCAAAAAUAGCCGCAUUUCGUGAUUCCAUUCUAUUAUUUUCACUUGUUUCAUUAAAUUGAACUUUUACCAUGCUGCAGUUACUUGCUUUGUUCUAUGGUCAAUUGGAUUGGUGGUG
rnacentral:lncRNA from 1 species